rnacentral:rRNA from 1 species
UACGUAGGGUGCAAGCGUUAAUCGGAAUUACUGGGCGUAAAGCGUGCGCAGGCGGUUGUUCAAGCCAGAUGUGAAAUCCCCGGGCUCAACCUGGGAACUGCAUUUGUGACUGCACGGCUAGAGUGUGUCAGAGGGGGGUAGAAUUCCACGUGUAGCAGUGAAAUGCGUAGAGAUGUGGAGGAAUACCGAUGGCGAAGGCAGCCCCCUGGGAUAGCACUGACGCUCAUGCACGAAAGCGUGGGGAGCAAACAGG